rnacentral:rRNA from 1 species
GAUGAACGCUAGCUACAGGCUUAACACAUGCAAGUCGAGGGGUAACGAGAGGAAAGCUUGCUUUCCUUGUCGACGACCGGCGCACGGGUGAGUAACGCGUAUCCAACCUGCCCCCAACUAGGGAAUAACCUUGCGAAAGUAAGACUAAUACCCUAUAAUCUCCUCAGAUGUCAUCUGACGAGGAAUAAAGAUUUAUCGGUUGUGGAUGGGGAUGCGUCUGAUUAGCUUGUUGGAGGGGUAACGGCCCACCAAGGAAACUAUCAGUAGGGGUUCUGAGAGGAAGGUCCCCCACAUUGGAAAUGAGCCACGGACCACACUACUACGGGAGGCAGCAGUGAGGAAUAUUGGUCAAUGGGCGGAAGCCUGAACCAGCCAAGUAGCGUGCAAGAUGACGGCCCUAUGGGUUGUAAACUGCUUUUAUACAGGAAUAAAGUUAGCCACGUGUGGUUAUUUGUAGGUACUGUAUGAAUAAGGACCGGCUAAUUCCGUGCCAGCCGCCGCCGUAA